CAGCUCCUUCCAUUUAAUCUCCCACCAGAGAAGGGACAGGAAGAGAGAGAGAGAGAGAGGAGGAAGCCCACCGUCUCCUGCGGCCCGGGUUGCCGAGAUAAGGCGUCCAGCGGCUAUUAAUGGAAGAGGAAGCAGAAGAUUGCCGCUUCAUUUCCGGAACGUAAAGAAUGGAUAACCAACCGUUCUUUAUUUCAACUGUGCAUCGUCGUCGAGGCAGUAAGAGAGAAAGAGAGAGAGAGAGAGAAUUCAAAUCUGAGUUAUAAUUGAGCUCGACUAGACCUAUCCAUCCAACGAAAAAAUCAUAAAUUGGAUUCAUGUUAGGUCCAAUAUUUUGGGUUACUAUACGAAUUGAGGAUUUGGAUCUAGUCGAGAUUAAUAUCUCAUAUGGAAAUGGUUUACGUCUCAA